UACGAAGGGGGCUAGCGUUGUUCGGAAUUACUGGGCGUAAAGCGCACGUAGGCGGAUUUGUUAGUCAGGGGUGAAAUCCCGGGGCUCAACCUCGGAACUGCCUUUGAUACUGCAAGUCUCGAGUCCGGAAGAGGUGGGUGGAAUUCCUAGUGUAGGGGUGAAAUUCGUAGAUAUUAGGAAGAACACCAGUGGCGAAGGCGGCCCACUGGUCCGGUACUGACGCUGAGGUGCGAAAGCGUGGGGAGCAAACAGG
rnacentral:rRNA from 1 species